rnacentral:snRNA from 1 species
GACAAGGUUGGAUAUUUCAC